rnacentral:rRNA from 1 species
AUUGAACGCUGGCGGCAGGCCUAACACAUGCAAGUCGAACGGUAACAGGAAGCAGCUUGCUGCUUUGCUGACGAGUGGCGGACGGGUGAGUAAUGUCUGGGAAACUGCCUGAUGGAGGGGGAUAACUACUGGAAACGGUAGCUAAUACCGCAUAACGUCGCAAGACCAAAGAGGGGGACCUUAGGGCCUCUUGCCAUCGGAUGUGCCCAGAUGGGAUUAGCUAGUAGGUGGGGUAACGGCUCACCUAGGCGACGAUCCCUAGCUGGUCUGAGAGGAUGACCAGCCACACUGGAACUGAGACACGGUCCAGACUCCUACGGGAGGCAGCAGUGGGGAAUAUUGCACAAUAGGCGCAAGCCUGAUGCAGCCAUGCCGCGUGUAUGAAGAAGGCCUUCGGGUUGUAAAGUACUUUCAGCGGGGAGGAAGGGAGUAAAGUUAAUACCUUUGCUCAUUGACGUUACCCGCAGAAGAAGCACCGGCUAACUCCGUG